rnacentral:lncRNA from 1 species
AAACUAAGUUAUGAUUUGGAAAGUUUUAGGAAGUCUUUUAUUGUUGAAGUAUGGAAUUACGCUGAGCCAGUUUUUGUGGUUAAUGUGUCGAUUAUAUGUGUUUCCAAAAUGGGGUUUUAAAAUUGAUUUAAAAAAACUUGGAAAAUGGGCAGUUAUUACUGGAGCUACUGACGGUAUUGGUAAAGCUAUUG